UAUGUGAUCGUCUCUCGCAUAUCAAUAAGCGGAGGAAAAGAAACUAACAAGGAUUCCCCUAGUAACGGCGAGUGAAGCGGGAAGAGCUCAAAUUUGAAAUCUUAAAGGGUUUCCCUUUACGAAUUGUAGUUUAAAGAAGUGUUUUCUGUUGAGGUUUUGGUAAAAGUUCUUUGGAAUAGGACAUCAUAGAGGGUGAGAAUCCCGUAUUUGACCUUUACUUUCAACUUUGUGAUACACUUUCAAAGAGUCGGAUUGUUUGGGAUGCAGUCCAAAAUGGGUGGUAAAUUUCAUCUAAAGCUAAAUAUUGGCGAGAGACCGAUAGCGAACAAGUACCGUGAGGGAAAGAUGAAAAGAACUUUGAAAAGAGAGUUAAACAGUACGUGAAAUUGUCAAAAGGGAAGCGUUUGACACCAGUGUUGUUUUUCUGAAAAUCAAUUAAAGAACUGUUUAUGCUAAGCUGUUUAGACUUUAUCAGCUAUCUGUUUAGUUUUAGGCUUUUCUUUAAUGCACUUUUCAGUUAACAAGUCAACAUCAAUUUCUUUUGCUGUAAAAAAGCUUGAGGAAGGUGGCUUGAGAUUCGUCUUAAGUGUUUAUAGCCUCUUGCCUAUGCAGUCGGAGAGAUUGAGGUCUGCAGCGUAGAUCCUUCGGGGCUAAAUGCAUUUGUGCUAAGUUAUAACAUUUUAUAGACAACUUGUUGACUAUGAUUUGUCUUGUAGCUUACUCGCUUAUGUUAUUUUACCUACGCUUAGGAUGUUGAUCUACAGAGCGAGAGU
rnacentral:rRNA from 1 species